rnacentral:lncRNA from 1 species
GGUUUGCAUAAACCUUGAAGAGAUAUUAAAGGCUGUGAUUGCUUAAUAUACAGUGCUGUUGCUAAGGGUCAUUCUGGUGGCUAAGAUAUGAUAAAUACUCGUAUUUAAUAAUUCAGAUAAAUGAGACAUUAUAGUUAGAGAUUUCCAUAUAUGUAUUGUACAAUGAUACAUUUUUAUUCAUAUAAAAAAGACACAUUUUUAAUGAAUAUGGUUAAAAAUAGCGCAUAAAUAGCAGAUUUUAAAUCUGU